rnacentral:rRNA from 1 species
ACACUCCUACGGGAGGCAGCAGUGGGGAAUUUUGGACAAUGGGCGAAAGCCUGAUCCAGCCAUGCCGCGUGCAGGAUGAAGGCCUUCGGGUUGUAAACUGCUUUUGUACGGAACGAAACGGCCUUUUCUAAUAAAGAGGGCUAAUGACGGUACCGUAAGAAUAAGCACCGGCUAACUACGUGCCAGCAGCCGCGGUAAUACGUAGGGUGCAAGCGUUAAUCGGAAUUACUGGGCGUAAAGCGUGCGCAGGCGGUUAUGUAAGACAGUUGUGAAAUCCCCGGGCUCAACCUGGGAACUGCAUCUGUGACUGCAUAGCUAGAGUACGGUAGAGGGGGAUGGAAUUCCGCGUGUAGCAGUGAAAUGCGUAGAUAUGCGGAGGAACACCGAUGGCGAAGGCAAUCCCCUGGACCUGUACUGACGCUCAUGCACGAAAGCGUGGGGAGCAAACAGGAUUAGAUACCCUAGUAGUCCAUG